AACGUAGGGGGCGAGCGUUGCCCGGAUUCACUGGGCGUAAAGCGGGUGUAGGCGGUCUCUUAAGUCGGAUGCGAAAUCCUGCGGCCUAACCGCGGAACUGCAUCCGAUACUGGGAGACUUGAGGACGGUAGAGGUCGGUGGAAUUCCCGGUGUACCGGUGAAAUGGACAGAUAUCGGGAGGAACACCAGUGGCGAAGGCGGCCGACUGGGCCGAUCCUGACGCUGAGACCCGAAAGCCAGGGUAGCGAACCGG
rnacentral:rRNA from 1 species